UUUCCGGUUGAUCCCGCCGGAGGCCACUGCUAUGGGGGUCCGACUAAGCCAUGCGAGUCAUGGGGCGCCUUGCGCGCACCGGCGGACGGCUCAGUAACACGUCGGUAACCUACCCUCGGGAGGGGGAUAACCCCGGGAAACUGGGGCUAAUCCCCCAUAGGCCUGAGGUACUGGAAGGUCCUCAGGCCGAAAGGGGCUCUGCCCGCCCGAGGAUGGGCCGGCGGCCGAUUAGGUAGUUGGUGGGGUAACGGCCCACCAAGCCGAAGAUCGGUACGGGCCAUGAGAGCGGGAGCCCGGAGAUGGACACUGAGACACGGGUCCAGGCCCUACGGGGCGCAGCAGGCGCGAAACCUCCGCAAUGCGGGCAACCGCGACGGGGGGACCCCCAGUGCCGUGGCAUCGCCACGGCUUUUCCGGAGUGUAAAAAGCUCCGGGAAUAAGGGCUGGGCAAGGCCGGUGGCAGCCGCCGCGGUAAUACCGGCGGCCCGAGUGGUGGCCGCUAUUAUUGGGCCUAAAGCGUCCGUAGCCGGGCCCGUAAGUCCCUGGCGAAAUCCCACGGCUCAACCGUGGGGCUUGCUGGGGAUACUGCGGGCCUUGGGACCGGGAGAGGCCGGGGGUACCCCUGGGGUAGGGGUGAAAUCCUAUAAUCCCAGGGGGACCGCCAGUGGCGAAGGCGCCCGGCUGGAACGGGUCCGACGGUGAGGGACGAAGGCCAGGGGAGCGAACCGGAUUAGAUACCCGGGUAGUCCUGGCUGUAAAGGAUGCGGGCUAGGUGUCGGGCGAGCUUCGAGCUCGCCCGGUGCCGAAGGGAAGCCGUUAAGCCCGCCGCCUGGGGAGUACGGCCGCAAGGCUGAAACUUAAAGGAAUUGGCGGGGGAGCACUACAAGGGGUGGAGCGUGCGGUUUAAUUGGAUUCAACGCCGGGA
rnacentral:rRNA from 1 species